CAGUCGCCGCGGUAAUACAGAGGGUGCGAGCGUUAAUCGGAUUUACUGGGCGUAAAGCGUGCGUAGGCGGCUUCUUAAGUCGGAUGUGAAAUCCCUGAGCUUAACUUAGGAAUUGCAUUCGAUACUGGGAAGCUAGAGUAUGGGAGAGGAUGGUAGAAUUCCAGGUGUAGCGGUGAAAUGCGUAGAGAUCUGGAGGAAUACCGAUGGCGAAGGCAGCCAUCUGGCCUAAUACUGACGCUGAGGUACGAAAGCAUGGGGAGCAAACAGGAUUAGAUACCCGCGAGUCCCUGUCUCUUAUACC
rnacentral:rRNA from 1 species